GCGGGAUGGAGUAGCAGAAGGCAGCGAACAACGAGAUUGGAUCGUGGGCGCAACGAUGGAUUUGUAGCGUAUUUGUUCUGAGGCCGGGAACGUCUUAUUAUAUAGACACGCAUGCGGAAGUUGGUUUAGGAAACCAUCAAUUUAGGAAACCUUCAGUUUAAAAAACCAACCGACGUUGAUUUAGGAAACCGCAACAUAUUCCAACUGCCAAAAGAAUAAGCAAUGAUCCGGACUGACUGACUCAAUAACCAGGCUUUUGAGAUUUUUUGGGAAUUUAAUUUAGUUUAGACCUGAUCAGUUGUCCUAAAUUCCAACACGCCUCCCUCCCGUCCGCCGGCGGCAGUCUGCUCCUGCCACCACGACCAGAGAAGAAUUUAUAUAGGAGAUGGAAUCAGAGGCCAGUGCUGAUUUUUCAGGGAUCUGAGCGGUUAUUCCUCCAUGCCUCCCCGCAUGAAUCUGAGAGUUUUUCAUCGAAAACGGUCUCCACAAUCUGAGCACAUCCCCCCUGUGAUAUCUCAAAAAAAAGACAAUCGCAUGGCAGUCGCGCGAGGUGUCACAGGGAUGAACCUUCGCUCUUUUUUUCCGAUAUCUCAGCCAUACACAGAUCCGAGACCCUCCUCUUCAAAAAAAGAAAAUAAAAAGAAAGAUCCGAGACACCAAGACGUGCCACGUGCCUGCCAGGCUGCCACUUGCGACAACUUGAUUCGAUCUGGAACCCGGACGGCCGAUCGGAUCGGAUCACCCCAGCACGUCUGAAUCACCGAACGCCUGGCGGAUUUGCAGUUCCCCGCGUAUCACUGGGACUAUAUAAAGUAUACUUCAGAUUACUACGCACGAGGGCCUUGCGUGCACAUUUCGAAAAAUACAUUACGUACGGCAACUCGAUCGUCAUGUCUGUCAUGUACUAGCGUUACCUCGUUCGAUCGAGUAUAACCCCCAAAGUCUUGCUUUAACGGAA
rnacentral:lncRNA from 1 species